rnacentral:rRNA from 1 species
GUCUACGGCCAUACCACCCUGAAUGCGCCCGAUCUCGUCUGAUCUCGGAAGCUAAGCAGGGUCGGGCCUGGUUAGUACUUGGAUGGGGGACCUCUUUUUCUCAGUAUUCACUAAGGCAUUACGUUAUCC